UGACCAGCACCCUGCGCGACCCCAAAAGUGACAAGUGGUACGAAAUGGAUGGAUGGAAUAUGACGUUUAGUGCAGUUUUCAAAUUAACAUCAAAAAGGCAGCUCUGAUCUUGGCUCCUGCAUUGGCUUCUCUGAGAGACACUGGCGUUCACCGCAGCCAUCCGACUUUCAGAUGUCUACAACAAAUCCGUGAAAGAUGUUCCCGGAUUCGGAGAUCGCUCGCCAAUACACAAAUGGCAGAACAAAGGUUACUGAAAUAGUGAAAGGUAAGUGUUGUUGUUGUUUUUUUUACUAACCAGCAAGCACAGUACAAUUAGUAGAACAACUGUGUUUUUAUUACUGUGUAUUUGAUAGGUGCCGUCGGAAAUUCAGCUAUUUCUUUUAUUUAUAUAUAUAAUAAAAUAAAUAUAUAUGGCUAGAAUUCACUGAAAGUCAAGUAUUUCAUAUACAUAUAUAUAUAUAUAUAUAUAUAUAUAUAUGCAUAUAUAUAUACAUAUAU